rnacentral:rRNA from 1 species
UACGUAGGGACCAAGCGUUGUUCGGAUUUACUGGGCGUAAAGGGCGCGUAGGCGGCGUGUUAAGUCCGCUGUGAAAGUCAAAGGCUCAACCUUUGAAAGCCGGUGGAUACUGUGAGGCUAGAGUACGGAAGAGGCGAGUGGAAUUCCUGGUGUAGCGGUGGAAUGCGCAGAUAUCAGGAGGAACACCAAUAGCGAAGGCAGCUCGCUGGGACGUUACUGACACUGAGGCGCGAAAGCGUGGGGAGCGAACAGG